rnacentral:rRNA from 1 species
AGAAUCAACGCUGGCGGCGUGCCUAACACAUGCAAGUCGCACGAGAAAGGGGAGCAAUCCCUGAGUACAGUGGCGCACGGGUGAGUAACACGUGAAUAAUCUACCUCCGAGUGGGGAAUAACUGAGAGAAAUCUUAGCUAAUACCGCAUAAUACCCACGGGUCAAAGCAGCAAUGCGCUUGGAGAGGAGUUCGCGGCAGAUUAGUUAGUUGGCGGGGUAAUGGCCCACCAAGACGAUGAUCUGUAUCCGGCCUGAGAGGGCGCACGGACACACUGGAACUGAAACACGGUCCAGACUCCUACGGGAGGCAGCAGUGGGGAAUUUUGCGCAAUGGGGGAAACCCUGACGCAGCAACGCCGCGUGGAGGAUGAAGCCCCUUGGGGUGUAAACUCCUUUCGAUCGGGAAGAUAAUGACGGUACCGAUAUAAGAAGCCCGGCUAACUUCGUGCCAGCAGCCGC